rnacentral:tRNA from 1 species
GGUCUAUAGCUCAGUGGCAGAGCACUCCCCUAGAACAGGUGAGGCACUGGGUUCAAUCCUCAGAACCA